rnacentral:sRNA from 1 species
UUAUUAAUACAAAUAAAACCUCCUGCGC